CAAGGAGUUGAGUUUUCAUCUCCUUCCAUAAACGGCAUGAGGAUAUUGCUGCACGCAACUCCAGGUCAACCAAGGCUUGUUUGGUCUCAUCCUAUUUCCAUAAUAAUCUCUGCAUUUCAGAAAGAAUAAGAAGAUGAUUGGCAGCACUGAGAUGGCUUAUGAAGCAAUAAUAGAAGAAAGAGUCUUCCCAGUGAUGGCAGAACAGGACCAUAGAAAGGGAUGUGAUGGAUUUUAAUACUAACCAAAGAAAAGAAGAAAAAUAUUAAACACCACGUAAGGAUCAGGUGAUCAUAUUAAGAGCUGUGGUGGCGCAGUACUGCAGGCUACUUCUGCUGACUGCCGGCUCCCUGCAAUUUGGAAGUUCCAACCUUACCAGGCUCAAGGUUGACUCAGUCUUCCAUCCUUCCGAGAAUCUGGCUGGCUGAUUACACUAAGAGAUAGUGUUUGAUGGAAGAUCAUCAGUCAUCAAAACAGAGACCCAAUGGAUUUGGGCAGAGUAUCCAGUUCUAGAUUUUAAUUUUACAAAGAUGUACUGGAGUUUAUUCUGAGGAUAAUCAUCAUGGCUGAAGGAUCUGAAAAGAAGGAAGAGCUUAGCCUGGAAAAAAGACAGCUGGAAGGAGGAGCGCUGUGAUAGUGUUCAAAUAUGUGUUAUUGGAUCAGGCAUGAAAAUUACAGCGAAGCAAAAUUCUCUUAAAAUUUAAAAUAGAAUUCUCAAUGUGAACUUUUAAAGAACAAAGCCAACUAUUUGAGACAAUCUCUCCUUUAUGGAAGAACACUUAAGCAAAGGAUGGGUAUCCUUCUCUCUGCACUCUCUAUGCAACAUCCCACUCAACAAUAGGACUCCGUUCAAGAUCCUUUCCUGCUUGCAUUUCAGGGGUUUCUGAAAUUCUUUGGAAAUGUAUGGGCAGCUCCUAAAUGAAAAGACUGACAAUAAUGAACCAGUAACUGGAAAAUGCCUUGUUGCUUGUCCUUUUUGAUUCCUUUGCAAUGUGCAAUAUAGGAAGUCCUUUUUUGUGUGUGACUUGCUGACCUAGGGGAACCAGAGGCUUGGACAAUGCAGAUUUGUAAGAAGUAUAUUAAUUCUAGAAUAUGCCUUUUGAAUUAUUUGCAACAUGCUGAACUGCUUGAUAUCCCAGUAUAAACAACUCGCUUCAAUCCUGUGUUGAUUCAUUUCACAAGAAGUGAAGCAAAACUUUCUAAAUUCCUGAUAACCUCUUUUCUUUGAUGAACCCAGGAUGAUAGCAAAAGCCUCCAUAGGGAAUGGUUGCUCAGUAAAUGUGAAAAAUUAUAGAGAUGGUGGGAAAAGAAUGGAAAAGGUAGCGAUAAGUCAGUUGUCAACUAAUUUCAUAAAUGGCAAAACCAUCCAGAUGGGGAGAAAUCUGGGAAAAGGAAUCUGGGAAUUUAAAUAUUUAUAGCAGAUAUUUCAACAGGAAAGAGAGGUUAAUUAUUUUGCGGCUCACUCUCUCUGGAAGCAGUCCUGAUGAAUUUGCACCCAACCAGACAAACACACCCAAUUUGGAGAAAGAAUAUGAAUUUGUGCAAUUUCCUUCCCUUUCUCAUCCAGGGAAUAGAAGCAAGGGGAUUUUUUACUCUUAGACUUAAAGCAGCUCGGAAUAGAUCAGUGACUGUUAACUUCUUGUUCUCAGAAUCACAAGAAAGAGACGAUUAUCAUGACUCAUUUUCAAAUAGCUUUUUCAAUAGAAAUGAUGGCAGUGUGGAAUCAUCUCUAUUAUGAUUACUCCCCGUGUGUUUAAUAAUUG